rnacentral:misc_RNA from 1 species
AAGUCGUAACAAGGUUUCCGUAGGUGAACCUGCGGAAGGAUCAUUACCACGUAUCCACGUAUCAACCCAAUGUGAAUGGAUUUUCUCCUUCUCCCUGAGAUGAUCACUCGUCUCAGGUCAACCCUCAGGCUGACAGUAGCUGUGAUCGAUCGAUCGAUCGAUCGCAUCAGUCAGCCGUAUGCAAACCCAUGUGACCUUCCUUUUUGCUAGUUGACUUUUUUAUGUUGCAGUCAGUGCGUCCGGGUUCGCCCGCUCUACUAACUGUACACGUUUCUUAUUUGAACGUAAAUGAUACAACUCUUAGCAAUGGAUAUCUUGGUUCUC